GCCUUGCCAGCCCGCUCAGAAACUCAAAGGAAUUGACGGGGGCCCGCACAAGCGGCGGAGCAUGUGGAUUAAUUCGAUGCAACGCGAAGAACCUUACCUGGGUUUGACAUACACCGGAAAACCGUAGAGAUACGGUCCCCCUUGUGGUCGGUGUACAGGUGGUGCAUGGCUGUCGUCAGCUCGUGUCGUGAGAUGUUGGGUUAAGUCCCGCAACGAGCGCAACCCUUUGUCUUAUGUUGCCAGCACGUGAUGGUGGGGACUCGUAAGAGACUGCCGGGGUCAACUCGGAGGAAGGUGGGGACGACGUCAAGUCAUCAUGCCCCUUAUGUCCAGGGCUUCACACAUGCUACAAUGGCCAGUACAGAGGGCUGCGAGACCGUGAGGUGGAGCGAAUCCCUUAAAGCUGGUCUCAGUUCGGAUCGGGGUCUGCAACUCGACCCCCGUGAAGUCGGAGUCGCUAGUAAUCGCAGAUCAGCAACGCUGCGGUGAAUACGUUCCCGGGCCUU
rnacentral:rRNA from 1 species